rnacentral:lncRNA from 1 species
ACAAAUGAAAGAAAAUUGGAACUAAAACUUCAAUAAUCAUCAUCUAUUCUGGUUUACCUACUUUACCAAUUUGUGUGCCAAUGUUUGGGCUUUUCUUUAUGCUUUAAGAAGUUGUUUGAGGCUUCUAAAGAACAUGGCCCCUUCAUCAAGCUCAAUAAAUGUGGCUUUUACCAGGGGAUCAGUGGUUUACUUGGCACCAUUAACAGGGUUAAGAUUCACUCAUUUAAUCUGUUCACAGAAUUGGUACAGAUUUAGCAGAACUAUAAACCCUUAUGAAGAGGAUCACAAAAUGACUAUGAGAAUGGAACAGCUUCCUCACAAAGGCGCAAUAAAAAGACCACAUUUUUCAACAUGGGAAGGACAGUUGCCAGUCUUGGACGGAUUUCAGUUGCUCCUGGCAGCAGUCACCUCACCAGUUCAUGUUCUGCCCAGUGUUGCGUAACCUCUAAACAAGCCUCCUGACUUGAGCAGUUUCUGACCAUUUUUCACCACCACCUACACCUUCCACCCACCCUGAGCGUCAGCUACGAAGUUUGGUAAUGCCCAGCUAGUUCAUACAGGAUAAGAACAAGGUAUACAAAUUUAUAAAUAGUGUGGAUUGUACUUUUAUAUUAAAACCCAGAACACAGGCAUUCUUGAAGCCCAAAGGAAAAAACGCCCACAAGGAUAACACCACCACUAACAAUGAUUCCAUUACAAAGUAAUCACUACUUUAUACAAUGGAUAGUAAAUAGAUAAAGUUAUGGUCAAUAAUUUGUCCAAGAGGAGAUUUAUAUAUACAUUCAAGAAGAGUUUUUACUCAGUUUGUGGAUAAAAGACAUAUAAAUGACUAAUAAAGGGAAAUGAAAGAUUUCA